GACGAACGCUGGCGGCGUGCUUAACACAUGCAAGUCGAACGGAAAGGCCCUGCUUUUGUGGGGUGCUCGAGUGGCGAACGGGUGAGUAACACGUGAGUAACCUGCCCUUGACUUUGGGAUAACUUCAGGAAACUGGGGCUAAUACCGGAUAGGAGCUCCUGCUGCAUGGUGGGGGUUGGAAAGUUUCGGCGGUUGGGGAUGGACUCGCGGCUUAUCAGCUUGUUGGUGGGGUAGUGGCUUACCAAGGCUUUGACGGGUAGCCGGCCUGAGAGGGUGACCGGCGACAUUGGGACUGAGAUACGGCCCAGACUCCUACGGGAGGCAGCAGUGGGGAAUAUUGCACAAUGGGCGGAAGCCUGAUGCAGCAACGCCGCGUGCGGGAUGACGGCCUUCGGGUUGUAAACCGCUUUCGCCUGUGACGAGGCGUGAGUGACGGUAAUGGGUAAAGAAGCACCGGCUAACUACGUG
rnacentral:rRNA from 1 species